CUUUUCUUGUUAGGCUUGGGAAGAAACUGAGUUUUCAGAGAUUUCUAUUGGUUUUGUAAAACUUAAUUUGCUCUGAUGCAAAGCAAGCCAGUCAGAGUGAGCUGUGACUUUCUUCCUUGCUGUCUGACUGUCUGGCAUCACUUUCUCUCAUUAGCUGGGCUCUUAAGUGGAGACAGUGCAUCCAAGCAGGUCCAGGCAGGGUUUGGAGCAGACUGCACCACCGUGCAUCGUCCGACAGAGGAGAGCUUCCUUCACACAGAGUUUUUCCAGCUGAAUCGUUCUGUAAUCUGCUCUCAUGUCCGCUGGUGAAGGGGAAAGGAAUCCUGCUGAAAGGCAAAACACACCACAAACAACAACAGCAACAAAAAAAUGCAUCCAGUUUUCAUUCAUCCUUCCCCCCGCCCUUUUGGAAACAGCAAGAAAAGUUUUCUGUGUGUGAAAAACCAAAUGGAUGGAUGUUUGUACUGAUACAGCUGAAAAAUGUCAUAUUAACAAAUAGCUCUUGUCUAAAAAUUGUUGAAUGAAAAGAUUUGCUAUUCUGUUCA